UUCUGUGUCACAUAUCAUCUCAAGCUGGAAUAUUCAGCAGCUACUCCCUUAACCCCAUUUUAUCAGUUUUGUCCCAAGUGCAGCUAUGCACACUGCCAGCUAAGAGAAAAUCUUUCUUCAGUGGGGUUUCUUGGUAUUUAAUGGCAUACUACUUCAAUUUCUAUGUCAGUGUCUCAGUGUCACACCAUUGCGUGGAUGUACAGAUUAGGGAGCUUCAUGUGCAUAAGUGCACCUCAUGAUCCACCAAAACGAACCAAGUUGCAUAUUGUAUUUAUGAAAGCAUCUAACUUUGUGCAGUUAGGGAAAAAAAAACCAAAAAAACAAGAAGAGACCUCAAGAUUAUAGAAUAUCAUUCCACAAAGUGCAAAGACUGAAUUGGCAGAGCUAAUUAUUACUCAGCUGUCAAUGUCAUUUUGUUAAUAAAUGAAGAGUCCAGUAGAAUGCAUACUAGCUCUAUAGUCCUAUAUUUUGCACAUCAUAAUUUUAUAGCAGUGACACUAACAAGCCAAAAACUGGAUAUAAGGUUUCUCCAUUUUCCUCUCUUAUGACUCAGAGAGCUGUCACCCCUCCCACAUUUGCCUGGUGCAGUAAUUACAUUGGACUUUCACUUCCAGGACAUAGUAACAGUAGAAGUUUCAUACUCUACCAGCAAAUUCAGCUCUGAAGUUUUGGACUUUAUUCAACCCUUGAAUGGAGAGAAUGAAGAGUGGAAUAGAAAGCAGGAUAAAAUGUGUCGUUCACACGCGGCGCCAACAGAUGUCGCUAUUGGACAAGAAAUGAGUACACAGACGCUUGGGAAGUUCCAAAGCGAAAAGGAGCCUGUUUUCUUCCAACAUCUGGGAAGGUAUUUCGAGAAUUCCGAAGGUGACUGUGGAUUGAAGGAUGGAAUUACUACCUCUCCAACCACGCUGGUCCAAAGACCAUUUCUCUCUACCCACAGAGAAAGAUGUAAACGAUUCUAUUUCCACCUGAAAUGGUGUGGAGCUCUGACUCUCAAAGAUGAAAACGUUCUCAGAAGGCUCAAGCAGUUUCAUGAGAACUUUAAAACUUUCCAAAGAACUCUAAAAGGAAACUUAACACUUUUAAAAAUCAGGGCAACAACUGCGCUCAUACAUUACGCUCCUUGGAGCUACUGAGGUCAUGCUGCAAGCCCGUUGCAGGACCUGGGAAUAACUGGAUGCAUGCUGGAGGCAACUGGGAUAGUCUGGCCAUGACUGGGGGAUCAUACUGGGAUAAUGAACAUCUUACUGGGGCCACUGGUAGUGCCUGGAAAUGAUUACGGACAUGCUGGGGACAGUUGGGAUCUACAGGCACUAUCUGUAACCGUAGUGGGGGAACUGGAACCAUAUCGGGAACGAUCAGGACCGUGCAGGGGAGAACUGGGACUGAACUGGGGGCAACUGGGAGCGAGUGGUAACAUGCUGGGAGGGACUGGGAUCCUUCCAUUAUUCCAGCCUCUCCUUAAAAGCAACGUUUUCCAUAAGUGGAGCACAGAUGCUGAAAAGCGGCAAAGCUGAGUAGCCUGGCUCAGCUUCAGUCAUGUGCAAUUCACAGAAGGCGAAAAACGCAGCAACAGAGAGCACCGGGGUUCUGUGUGCAGUGAAGGCAAUUGCAAAAAUCCAGCAGCUGCUCACUCCCAAACACAAGGAGCUGUCUCUGCUCUUGCUUUUCGACCAACUCAAAGCAGCCCUUCUUUUCUGCAGCUGCCAUCGAGUUUUCUGCAUCUCGGAAGCUCAGGGGACGAGCAAGAGUUCUCCAGGACGUCUGCAUCAGGACGAAGCCAACACCCGGGAAAGUUGUCCUGCAACACCUUCCAUAAGCGUGCUAGCAGAGAAUUGAAGGGGCAGGCGAGCGGCAAGCACCGUCCUCUAGCAGCCCGAAGGCUGCGCACAGAAGCCCGGCUCUCUGCGGCUUCGUUCUUCGCCUCUUCCCCGCUACCGCGCUCUCCGGCUCCCGGAGCGAAAGACCGGCUACUUCGCGCACGCUACACCGGAGCGGCAACCGUUAUCCUCUGGAGCGCGGCUACAGCCGAAAGACGCCGGGGACCGGCACUUUCCUCCGGACAGCUCCGGAGACCCGUAAGUUUGCCUCUCUAGUGGACUGCAUCAUAGUGAAAAGCUUUCCCAGUG
rnacentral:lncRNA from 1 species